rnacentral:lncRNA from 10 species
CGAGAUCACACCACUGCACUCCACCAUGGGUGACAGAGCAAGACUCCGUCUCAAAAAAAAAAAGACUAUGUCCAAUAUGUUGCAUAAACUCUUGCAGGCAAUUUAGAACAAUGGUAUUUAUUAGCAUUUAUUAAAUCAACUACCAACCAUAUCCUUGUGGGUUUCUCACAUUAAAAAAUGAAUGUGUUUAUAACCUUUGCACUAUCUAGUAUCAAAGCUUACCCUCCAUCACAGUAUUCCUCCAAGAGAAAGGCAG